ACGUUAUUGAAGAUGCACAGUGCAUAACAUACUAGUUUCUUCUGUUACUUUUUUUUUACUGUAUAACUUCAGGAACCAAAGAAAAAAAGCUUUUUGAUAAAAUUGACGGGCAAGAUGAAAGCCAGAUGUACAGCGGUUUCAGGUCCUAUGAGGUGUCUGCUUCACUGCCUGGGCUAUAAACUUUGAUAAGAAUGAACAUCUUGGAGGCCCACUCUUGUGUGUGUGUGUACACAUUGCCAGAUGUUAACCAGAUGGUGUAACCCAAGGGAAACCUGUAGCACUGAUAAUGUCAUACAGAUGAGAUCACUAAUAACUGCAAGUGAGUUUGAAAUCCUCUUCCUGUGCCAGCCUAACCCAAACAAAUAUGCUACAUCAUUGCUGCAGUGGCUAUAUUUCAAUUAGCAACAGACAGAAUAAAUAGUUAUAAAUCAUUGGUACGUGUGUCUAAGUAACAUUCAGGAUAAAGCCAAAAUCUUUGUAAAAGUAGUGUUAUUCUUUGUCAUCUUCUUUCGAAAUAAUUGUAUGUGCCCCACUUAUUUAAACAAUAAAAUCAACGCAGUUAUAACAUACAAAUCUGAAUUUCCAUUAGUGGGAGAGUAAACUGCACUUUGUAUCCCCUGCUUUUUCGAGGCCCAAGAGGAAGAAUUCCUAAUGUUGCAAUGUCAGCUGUACAAUGUAAUUUUUGUGGAAAUGAGGAUUGCUGGAGCUACACACUGCUUAGAUAAAUCUUGUAGCGUUCUCUGGAGCAUGCUCAUGGACAUUUAAACAUGGAGAGCCAGAGAUUCCUCUUAAAGAUAACCUGCUCUUCUAUACAUGGUGACAUACUUGGCGUGAAACAUCAGUUCUGCAGUAAUAGAUAGUUGCAAAGCAAGGAAUCCGAAGGAGCCCAAUUAAAGAAAAGACCAACCCCGCUGACCACAGAGAAAGAAAGAAAAACAAAUCAUGUAAACAACGGAAGUGAGAAACAAUAACAAUAUUUCAAACCAAAUUGAGUCUUUGGAUCCAAAUCCCUGGAGUAGGUCCAAAGCCUUAGUAUUCAGUUAAUCAAAUUAGCGGGAAAAUCACUGCAAAGUUUGCAGACAUGAAGCACAGCAGCUGGGGAGCAGUCUCACAGCAUAGCAUCAUGGAAAGAGGAGCCCCCACACUAUUUGGGCUGGCAUUCAAAUUGUUCAGGCAUUGCACUAGGACACAGCCCCACCGCCGUUGAAUCACUCUGGGCCCAGAUUUUGCUGCCAGCAAAGCUGUUCUCGACCUCUAUAAAUUGGCUUGAUGCCCAGACCAAUCCAACCUCGCCCAACUCGCAACAGCCUGCCUUUCAUGUCUAUCUGGGCCAGCACUUAGGUUGUCCAAACGGCGGAUUGUACCUCGAGUUAGGACCCAGGCCUUGUUGCAGCGAAUCCCUCCAGGCCUUGAAUGCGCCACCCAGUGAUUCACUUCGGACUUGGAUUUCACUGCUGAAGAAGCCGUUCUCAACCUCUCCAAAUCGGCUCAGCACUUAGAAUGAUCAACUCUCGCUCCCGGGCCAGCUGAAUGGGCAUUGCAACUUCUCUGUCCUGUCUUCUCCCCUCCAAAUCGUUCACUCCAGCCAGCACGGCUCCAACUCCAAAUGCAUCGAUUUUGCAGUGGACCAGCAGGGCUCGUCUUGUGAAUUUGCUAUGCCUUCGCUCACUUCUUCAAUGUUUGC